rnacentral:piRNA from 1 species
UAGUCCCGUACUGUGACAAUGGGCCC